UUCAGUAGCCCGGAUAUAGCAACCUUGAUCUGCGAUGUCAUCGCUAGAUACAUCACACUCUUCAGACGUGCAGGAGACAGAAUAAUGGACUUCUGUGAAGUCGAAGUGCUUGUCUGUGAUGCUGGAACUUUCGGUGAUACCUGCAACAUGUUCUGUCACUGUCGAGAUGGACCGUGUAACUAUGUUACUGGAGAGUGUACUAGAAGAGGAUAUCAACAAAACUGGAGUGGAGAUACGAUAUGUCAACAAGGUACAUUUGGACCCGGAUGUCAGUCAAAAUGUAGUGAACGACACUGUAAAAGCAGACAGUUCAUCUUGUGAUGUACAGAAAGGAACCUGCCAACAUGGCUGUGAUCCAGGCUGGAAGGGUCCAAGUUGUAUCAUAGCAUGUGAUGAUGGAUCCUAUGGCGCUGGUUGUAAAUUCACUUGUUCUAAAAGACACUGCAAAGAGGGUACGAGGAGCUGUAACAAGGCCAAUGGUUCCUGUGAAGAUCUGUGUCAGGACGGUUGGACGGGAGUCGACUGUACAGGAUGUGAUGGGAAAUACGGUCAAGAUUGUUCAUUAUCGUGUGAUGUCAGACACUGUAAAGACAACAAGGCACCGUGUGAUUACAUGACCGGAUCGUGUGAAGGAGAAUGUCUGGCUGGUUGGCGAGGUGCUACGUGUACUGACAAUUGUGAUGCAGAUCAUUUUGGUGUGAAUUGUAAAUCAGUGUGCGCAGACAGACAUUGCAAGGGGGAUCAACUCUGUCAUCAUGAACUGGGAUAUUGCAGUGGUGGGUGUCUGUCAGGGUGGACAGGACUUACAUGUGUUGAAGGUACGUGCGAUGACCAACUAAAACAAUCGAGCAUGUUACAAGGGGGAUUCAGGAUACGAUCGAAAUUCCCAAGCUGUCACUGGCAACACUGACACCGGUAACAGUGAUUCCGCCAUCGUUUCCAUUUCCUUUGUGGCGGGUAUUUUGUUUGUACUGUUGGUCAUAGUCUUCAGUGUUUUAAUCUGGCACAUGAAAACUUACAGAGUGAAGUCAGACUCGUAUCAGCUAGAGAUAAAAAAAAAAACACAAACCCGUCAAAUCAACCUACAGACCCAAGUGCUGUAGAAUAUGAAAUCGUCGAUAGACAAGAUGGCGGCAACAACAGUCCUGGAGGUUCCAGUUCUCAACAAGUCGCCACCUCCCCAUCAACCAAUUAUGGCAAUUCACCGACGUCACAUGAUCAAAUGGAUUCCCAGCCGAGUCAUUGUGACAUUGUGGGUGGCUAUGUCAAUGAAAGCCAAACGAAUGAAUAUGAAAACUUGAUUUAGCCAACUCACCGCAGAAUGACUAUGUUAGAAUAACUGGUGUUUAGACAAACGGGAAUGAACUUUUCGUUGACGAAUGUUGAUACUUUUACCGUGUGGUUUUAAAAAGACAUUGUCAUUAUGGAAUUUGUUUCACGAUGACUGAACAUAGAGAUAGUAAUUUUGACUUAAAAGUUUGAAUCAAGGUCUCUGAAAUUGUAAACAAAUUAAGGAUGAAUAUCACGUUUUGCUUGUUUGUCUUUGCUAUCGUGAUAUUAGAUCACAAUUAUUGAAGAAAUAUUCUUAUGCUUGUACUUACUAUAACCAGUUUGUAAAUUCAUUAACAGUAAAAUCAAGGGCAAUUUGAUUAGAUCUAUGAAAAUUUAUUUAUGUUGCAAUGCACAGACGUAUCAACGUUACUCUCACAGUUCUUCUUUUCCUCCUCCACUACAACUACCACCACCACUACUACUACUACUUCUAUUACAACUACCAUUAAUACUACUGCUACUAUUACUACUACUACUACUACUACUACUACUACUACUACUAC